CGCACUCCCCCUCCCCUUUCCCCCAGCUCUCCCCCUCCGCCCCCGCCCCUCGGGAGGCCCUCGUCGGCGGGGGCGGGCCCGCACCGGCGGUGGGUCACGCGCCUCCGGGCGGCGCGCCGCGGCUCUCCGUGGGGCUCCCAAAGGCCGCUGGAGCCCAGGCCGACCAUCAGCGCUUCUUCGCUGCUGGUUACUCUUCGUUUUCCUUGACAAGGACUGCGUCGCUCUUCUUACGCGCCUCCGAAGUAGAAAUGCCUCUGGAGACUUUCUGUAAAGCUGGUAAAAUGAACUGUUACAGAUAUUUCUGCUGUGACUGAGAACUGCUCUUACUGAGUAGCUCAUGGGCCCUGACUGGAGAGAUGAGACAACACGGAGAAAAGAGAUACAGGCAGAGACUUCGUAGUGAAUAGAUGCUGGAACUGCCUCUCUGGAUGUGUGCUGAGCUCUCACUGCUAUGGACUGUGCAGCCUUAAUUGCUGCAGGUCCUGUUCUCACUGAAGAAUUGGAAAUAAUUAUUAAUUAGACCACAGAGAUGUUUCCUAAAACCUUUCCCCUUUUUCUGCCUUUAGUGGUAGAUCUUCUCUUUCUGCCUUUGAAUUUACAGUGAUUCUCUGAUGUCAUUCACCUGCCCAAAUUCCUUGCAGCUCCUGGGGUAGAGAAAAGCUUCUGCUGUGGCUGAGGUUCAGUGGGAAAAUGAUACCGUGUGUUCCACCUCCUUAAUAAAUGUAACUGCUCUUUAUAUCUUAGAGAGUAGACUUAGUUAAUCCUUUUUCAACAGAAAGUGGCAGGCUGAACUCACCUGAAUUACUGAACCAUACUUUGGAUAGUUUAAUUUUUUAAAAGAAAAACAAACAAACAAACCCAGGCUUUUUGUCUGUGGGUUUUACUGGUAUUGCUCCUUAAUUGAGCCACACCUUUAAAUAACAACACGGGCACUUUCUGGAAACAGCGUUCAGUACAUUUUGCACUUUCUCAUGGGAACCUCUGGGCUUACGUUUUUCCAUUGCCAAUUUAAUUACAGGUCCAAGCUGACAGUGUCCCGUGUAUCUGGUGUUCAUUGAUCUGUUUGUGAUACUAAUUUCAUUUGGUUGCAGAGCUGGGCUUUUGGGGCAGAUGAUGCCCCUCAAGCCACGAGGCUUGUUUAAACCUUGUACUCUACUUUUUGAAGAUCCAGGGUGGGUGAGCAACUUUGCCUUGUUGCUGUAUUAGGGGAUAGCAUUCAGGAAGUUCCUACAAUCUUCACAUUGAAGUUGAAAUGUUCAAGGAUAUCUGUGUAAUGGUUCUCAGGGAUGAAUCUUACUCCCACCAGUCUGUAGCGUGGUAGCGUAGGACCCAAAAAAGUAGGGUGUGAGGGACAGGGUGGAUAGGAACACUUCCGCCACCAGAGAGAGUAAAUCUAAACCAGAGAGUCAGAACUGGGAAGUGAUGACCUAUUGCUCCACCACCAGACACUGUAAAAACCGGAAGCAGCAAGUCAUAACCCCAGAGUGACUACCAAUACUUCCACAACCAGACAGAGCAAUCUGCAACAGCUGCAGAAAGCAUCUUUAACAUCUAUCUCUGAAAACCAAAUAAAACCACCUUGAAAUUUAGUUAGCAAGGUAUAGGGAUUUGCAGCUACUGGGUGAAUACUUUUAGCAACUCCAUUAAUUGCCCAUAAAUCUUGCAGUACUCUAAGUUCCGAUAGGUUUCCUUACUGGUAAUAUAGGAGUAUUAAAUUCUGAUUUUCAUUCUUUCAACAAUCCUCAUGUCAGGAAUUUAUUGGUUAUUUGCUCUAUUCCUUUUCUGUCUUCCAACCUUAAAGGGUAUUGCUUUCUAACUACUGGCCUAACUCCUGUCUGUAGUUCAAUGUAAAAAGGGUCUGCCUAUUUUGAUCUUGAUUGCAUAUCAGUAUGCCAUACUGAUUAGGCAUUUGCUCUAAAUAGUUACUGUUUGUUAGUCUUAUGUCAAUUGUCAGUCCUAAUGCUAAAAUAAAUUUGUCUUCAGAUACCUUAAUUUCUUCUUCUCUAGGCUCAGUUGUAGCUUUUAAAUUUUCAAGCAAAUCACUGCCUAGCAGAGAUUUGGGUGAAUGAGGUAAAUAAAGAAACUGGUGUAUUCCUGUCUUCUUCCCGAUUUUAUAUAUAAGUGGUUUCAGGAAGAAUGCAUUUUCUGGCUGGUCGGUGGCUCUUACUACUUGAAUGUGUUUCUAAUUUUUAGGUAUCAAUGCUUGAUUUAAGAUCGAAAGCGUGGCUCCAGUAGCUACUAAAAAUUCAACUCCUUUAUCAUUCCACGGCUGUAUUUUAACCAGCAGGUACACUAGGUAAGAUCUGGUGGUCCCCAUCAUUCAUUAUAAUCUAGAGUGGCUACAGUAGUUUCUUGUACUUUGUCUGCUAACUACAGGCACUGGUGUUUCCAGUGUCCUUCUUUCUUACAAGAUGCGCAUUCAUUUGGCCCCAGCUUAAUCUGUGGUUGGUUUGAACCUCCUCUGCCUCUGGUAUUCCUGCCUCACCCACACCCUCAACACCGGUGCUGAUCCAGAGCUGCCAGUAUGGCUGUAGUGAGUUCUUUCCUCUUUUGUUGAUCUAUUGUACACCCUCCAUGCUUCUCCCAUUAAUGCCUCUAAAUCUCUGUUUACAGGCUCCUUCAGUUUCUGAAGUUUCUGCCCAAUAUUUGGGCUCGGUUGCUCUAACAUCAGGAGAAGCUAACUGUUGCUUUCCCAUAUCUGACAGGGAAUCUAGGGUUGCAAAUUUACACAUCGCUGCUUGGAGCCUGUCCACAAAGUCAGUGGGUGACUCAUGCUGUCCAUGUUUAAUUGACCAGUUAACUGCUUUUGGAAUAGCAUUUUCUAGCCCAAAUUUGACUAGAUCCUGGUACUUAGUUAACGUCGCAUAGCUGCCUGCAUCAUUCAGGUUUUACAAUAGGAAACAACUGGUCCACUGUACCUUGGUAAGGCUCCACUGGCAGUUUGUCCCUGCACAUGUGCUCUGGCUGUGUUUGUCGCUAACUCUUUUUCUGUUAGUUCUGUCAGCAUUAAAUCAAUAUCACCCCAAUCUGGGUUUUGAUUCCUGACUACUAACUCCAUCCUUUUUGCUACUUUGCUUGGGUCUCCUCUAUAAUUCCAAACUUGUCCUGGCCACCUAUUCGGGUCGCUAGUGGAAAAGGGGACCUUCCUGCACAGCUUCUCCUGUGGGACCCACUGCUUGCCUUAAGGGGGCGACCAAAAGCAAAGCUUUCUUGGUUUUACUCUUUGUACGUGCUAUCAUCGUGGUUCCUGAACUUGUCCGCUCACCAGGAUCAUCCAUCUCAUCCUUACUACCACUCGGGCUUAAUUGAAGGGGAGGAGCAGCCGGUGGAGAGUGUACAGCUGGCCUGGUAAGUCUCAGACAUCCAUGACACUGUCUUCCUCAUGCUUUUCUGCCUACUUCAAACAUCUCUGCCGUAUACUACAUGCUGAACAACGUCUCUUUAUUUUCCACCUGAUAUCUCUUUCCACAGCUAGAACCAAAGGGUCUUGUGGGGCCGAAUCGAUGCCACAUUGCUUCUGCCACUCGGGUUAAAUUUAAAGUUCCAUUAGAGAGCUACUUUUCACCACUUUCCACUUUAUGCAAAGGCCACCACUGGAUUACCUGUCUUGAAAUUACCCCUUGGGACUCCUCCCAGAUUUUUCCAAUGUGCUAAAAUAUAUCCUAGCAGUUUUUUAUAACAUUUUUACUUCCUGUGUUACCCAUUUUUAAUGCUAUCCAAAUUUCCACACUUGUACAUUCUGUGUUAGUACUUCUACUUUCUUUAUCUUUAUUCCCCAUGUACUACACUUAACACACACUGGGCAUCUCUGAGUCGCCCGGCACCACUAUUCUCUUCUGACAAGUACUGACAAGCAACGUAAACAAAAGGAUUUUUUGUGCACAAAGCCACUUCCACACAAUACACAAGGAAUUGGGGUAUGAUAGGACACAAAAUGAGUUUCCUAAAACACACAAGGGAAACAACUAAUGUUCUUAAAACACAAAAUGUACAAAAUAACGAAUACCACAAUCAAAACCCAAAAUGCCAAGGCCAAUACCAAAAGGCAUUGGACUUCUUUUGGGGACUCUAAGGCCUUGCAUCAACUUCAGGAAUUUCACCUGUGAUACAGCACCCUGUGUGGUAUGUCUUACAGGACCUACUUAACAGAGACCUGAAACAAAAUUCCAGAACAAUCAUCAAAUACCUGUAUUUCCUGUAGUGGGUUCUUGUCUAUCCUUGCAGAGAGCCGGUGAAGCGUGGAGUCCCUCCAAGAAAUUCUCAGCGCACGCCGAGGGAGUCCCCAGCUCCAACAGAUCUUGCAGCCAGGCAGAGAGUCCCGUCCCGCCGCGAGGUCACCAGAGCGAUGCUUGAAAACUAGGCAAGAAAACAGUACUUGAUAGCAUAAGGCCUAUAGAGCAGGUAUUUGUUUAUUCGACGCUAGGGGUGAGGGAGAUAGCUCGACCACAGACUCACUUGUCCAUUCCUCACACAUUACUAGCUUUUGUACUUGUUUUAGUUAACAUGCACAUUAUACUUUCCUAACCUUCAUAUUGUAACGUUUUCUGAUUACAUGAAUACAUGAGCGGUUGCAGUCCAAGGUUGUGGUCAGACACCUGGUGGUCAUUUUGGAUGAAGGCUCGUAAGUCUUCCUUGGGCUCAGACUUUUCACCUCUGUUUACUGCACACACCGUAUAGAAUUGUCUACUCAGAUAGCCAGUUGUUAGCUUUUUGCAGUUAGCUUGUUCUGCUAAAUUUGCUGAUUUUAAAAUGUGCUCCAUUCAUAUCCUGUUACAAAGUAACUAUUUCUCUCUGCAUAGCUACAGCUUUUGCAGGGCUCACACACUGUCUUACUGCCUAGGCAUCGCUUUGCUGAAGAGUUUCUAAGUGUGGCGGUGGGCUUUGCUGCAGCUGGAACUUAUUUCUGUUUCAGGAAACGUCUCAUCAUAUAGUCUGCGAUUUGACGGUUCCUGUGCCAGGUUAAUUGUAGUGGAAGACAGCAAAUGAAGCCAGGAGACUCAACUUAGGAUGCCCCAGGUACCUGCCAAGCACAGAUUACGAAAUACCAAACCCCCGGGUUAUAAAAGCACUAAAAUCUCAUAUUACAAAAGACAGAAAAAAGCCUACAAAACACUAGGUUCCAAAAUAUCAGAAUAACCCGGUUUCAAAAUACUAGAAACCCAAAUUUCAAAGUAUCAGAAAGCCACGUUUCAAAAUCUCAGUUUUGAAAUACUGGAACACCACGUUCCAAAAUACCAAAAAAACCCAGGUUCAAAUUACCAGAACAGCAAGUUGAGAAAUAUCAAAGUAACCCACUUUUAAAAUACUGGAACAACAAACCCAGAAAUACCAAUGUAACCCAGUUUCAAAUUACCACAGUAGCCCAGUUUGAAAAUACCAGAAUACCAGGUUCCAAAAUACCAAAAUAAUACAGUUUCAAAUAUUGAUAUUCAGCAAAAUAUCAAAAUGACCCAAUUUCAAAAUACCAAUUUUCUCAUGUGUUAUACUGGCAAGAUUUCCAAACGUAAAAGAAUGCAUUAUUGUGAAAAUGAGAUCUUUGGUACCAAAAUGGAUAUUUUCUUCUCUGAAAAGCUUUCCCUGAUGACCAUUAAUACAUGUAUUUUUUUUCAUCAUUUUGCCAGAGGUAAUAAAAAUUUUACUUUAAAAGCAAA